rnacentral:ncRNA from 1 species
UACCUGGUUGAUUCUGCCAGUAGUCAUAUGCUUGUCUCAAAGAUUAAGCCAUGCAUGUGUAAGUAUGAACAAAUUCAGACUGUGAAA